CCGGGCUUGUUUCUCUCUCUCCAGGGCCUCUUGGAGGGUGGCUACUUCAGCCACCUUUUCUUCGAGGUGAGCGACCUCGGCCCGACAACGCUCCUCCACCUGGGCGAUGUCCCUCCUCGCACGGUUCGUUGCCUCGAUAUUGGCGAGAAGCUGGUGCCCAAUCUGCAGGGGCGGCUAGGGGAUCAGAAUAAGGGCCGAAUAACUGGAUAAAUGAAGGUUUGUUUAUCUCGAGGAAGGACCCUAGGG
rnacentral:lncRNA from 1 species